CACUCAUGUUUAGAAGAGCUUUUUACACAAGCUCUGUGAAUAUAUCAAUACUAUUAUUGAUAAAACGCCAACAGAUUCAGUAACACUGUACAAUAGGUGGACUAACAGACAAAUAUUUGCAACAAGACGAGUUGGACGCACAGGAACAGAGGGCAUUGAGAGUCCUGCUCAAACGAGCUUACAUUCUAGAGGGAGUGGGGAAAAGUGACACAAGAGGUAAGGGUAAGAUGUAUUUCAUGUAAG